UACGUAGGCAGCGAGCGUUGUUCGGAAUUACUGGGCGUAAAGAGUGUGUAGGCGGUGCUCUAAGUUCGGUGUGAAAUCUCCCGCUUAACUGGGAGGGUGCGCCGGAAACUGGAGUGCUCGAACGUGGGAGAGGAAAGCGGAAUUCCCGGUGUAGCGGUGAAAUGCGCAGAUAUCAGGAGGAACACCGGUGGCGAAGGCGGGGUCUCUGGGCAACAACUGACGCUGGAGGAG
rnacentral:rRNA from 1 species